AAUGACCGGAGUUUGGAGCCGGACCUUAAGAAAUGAGCAGUGGGGCCGGGAAUGGUAAUGGACGCCUGUAAUCCUGGCACUCUGGGAGGCUGAGGCAGGAGGAUGGCAAGUUUGAGCCCACCGUGGGCAACUUAGAAAUGUAAGGAGACCCUAUCUUAAAAUAAAAAAUAAAGAUACAGCUGGGGAUGCAGCUCAGUGUGAAGGCCCUGGUUCCAUCCCCAGGACCACACAAUAAAAACUGGCACCUGGAUGUCCUUGGUCUGGCUCUGUAGCCCAGGCUGGCCUGGAACUCGCAGUGAUCUGGCCUCAGCCUCCGGAGUGCUGGGAUUACAGGCUUGAACGUGCCACCAUUCUGCCUCAGCCUCCUGGAGCUUUGGGAUUACAGGCAUGCACCACCAACC
ensembl:lncRNA